UACGGAAGAUCCGAGCGUUAUCCGGAAUUACUGGGCGUAAAGAGUUGCGUAGGUGGCAUAGUAAGCAAGCAGUGAAAGGUCCCGGCUCAACCGGGGAUACAUUGUUUGAACUGCUAAGCUAGAGCAUGAGAGAGGUAACUGGAAUUCCUAGUGUAGGAGUGAAAUCCGUAGAUAUUAGGAGGAACACCGAUGGCGUAGGCAGGUUACUGGCUCAUUGCUGACACUAAGGCACGAAAGCGUGGGGAGCGAACAGG
rnacentral:rRNA from 1 species